rnacentral:pre_miRNA from 1 species
GUGGGUUUUUUCAAAAUUUUUUUAAUUAAAUAAAAAAAUUUGGAAAAAAGUUCCAG